rnacentral:rRNA from 1 species
AGUGAACGCUGGCGGUAGGCCUAACACAUGCAAGUCGAACGGCAGCACAGUAAGAGCUUGCUCUUACGGGUGGCGAGUGGCGGACGGGUGAGGAAUACAUCGGAAUCUACUUUUUCGUGGGUGAUAACGUAGGGAAACUUACGCUAAUACCGCAUACGACCUACUGGUGAAAGCAGGGGAUCUUUUGACCUUUCGCGAUUGAAUGAGCCGAUGUCGGAUUAGCUAGAUGGCGGGGUAAAGGCACACCAAGGCGACGAUCCGUAGCUGGUCUGAGAGGAUGAUCAGCCACCCUGGAACUGAGAAACGGUCCAGACUCCUGCGGGAGGACGCAGUGGGGAAUAUUGGACGAUGGGCGAGAGCCUGAUCCAGCCAUACCGCGUGGGUGAAGAAGGACUUAGGGUUGUAAAGCCAUUUUGUUGGGAAAGAAAAGCAGCAGGUUAAUACCCCGCUGUUCUGACGGUACCCAAAGAAUAAGCACCGGCUAACUUCGUA